GACGAACGCUGGCGGCGUGCUUAACACAUGCAAGUCGAACGGUGAACCAGAGCUUGCUCUGGGGAUCAGUGGCGAACGGGUGAGUAACACGUGGGCAACCUGCCCCAGACUCUGGGAUAACCUCGGGAAACCGAUGCUAAUACCGGAUACGACCACUUCGGACAUCCGACGGUGGUGGAAAGUUUUUCGGUCUGGGAUGGGCCCGCGGCCUAUCAGCUAGUUGGUGGGGUAAUGGCCUACCAAGGCGACGAUCGGUAGCUGGUCUGAGAGGAUGAUCAGCCACAAUGGGACUGAGACACGGCCCAUACUCCUACGGGAGGCAGCAGUGGGGAAUUUUACGCAAUGGGCGAAAGCCUGACGUAGCGACACCGCGUGAGCGAAGAAGCCCCUUGGGGUGUAAAGCUCUGUCAGCUGGAACGAAAAAAUAGACGGUACCAGCAGAGGAAGCAUCGGCUAACUAACGUG
rnacentral:rRNA from 1 species